GACGAACGCUGGCGGCGUGCUUAACACAUGCAAGUCGAGCGAUGAAGCUCCUUCGGGAGUGGAUUAGCGGCGGACGGGUGAGUAACACGUGGGUAACCUGCCUCAUAGAGGGGAAUAGCCUUUCGAAAGGAAGAUUAAUACCGCAUAAGAUUGUAGUUUCGCAUGAAACAGCAAUUAAAGGAGUAAUCCGCUAUGAGAUGGACCCGCGUAGCAUUAGCUAGGUGGUGAGGUAACGGCUCACCAAGGCGACGAUGCGUAGCCGACCUGAGAGGGUGAUCGGCCACAUUGGGACUGAGACACGGCCCAGACUCCUACGGGAGGCAGCAGUGGGGAAUAUUGCACAAUGGGGGAAACCCUGAUGCAGCAACGCCGCGUGAGUGAUGACGGUCUUCGGAUUGUAAACUCUGUCUUCAGGGACGAUAAUGACGGUACCUGAGGAGGAAGCCACGGCUAACUACGUGCCAGCCGCCGCAGUAA
rnacentral:rRNA from 1 species